rnacentral:misc_RNA from 1 species
CGAAGAUCCUAUCCAAUGACGUCUACGUCUCAUUCACGCCGAGGGAUUGAAGCCUAUAUAAUGUGAUAUUUUCAUUUUGUGACGAUUCAUCAACCUUUGCUGUAGCAGGGAAAACAAGAAACGCGUGUUUUCGUUGUGAAGAGUGUGAAGAGUAACGAAACUUAAGUUAAACUUAAGAAAAAAAUACAGAUGUUUCGUUUUGAAAUACCCACUCAGAGUUCGCACUGUCAUCACUUUCAAAAGAAAACUAUUAGUCACAGCCGGUAUCUGGGUGAUUUCAACCUUGUGUUCAAUUCAUGUUAUUGUUUACCCUCCAGAUUUUAUCACACCUGUUUUCAAUGACGAGUUUGACAAGUGGCAACCUACAACACAAUUUAUAAUUCCGGCAGUCAUCGUUGUAGUAUCUUGCAUCAUUACAGCUUUAACACUUAUUAAAAGAAUACACAGUAAUCGUUUACAUGAGUCCAAUCAAAGUAACGUGUCCACAGGAAAUUCUCUCAGAAAUCCAAAAAAGGCUCUAAAAACGGUGAUCAUCGUGGCUGUUGUCUUUCUGUGCAUGACGUCACCGAGUGCAAUUUUUCGUUUUUGGAUUAUAAACAAUGGAUACCAUUUUUCCGCGAAAACCUGGUUGUAUUUUGCUAAUCUACUUAGAGUAUCUAAUAGCUGCGUUAAUCCAUUUAUUUAUGCACUCAUGUCCAGUAGUUUUCGAUCGGCCAUCAAAUCAACAUUUUGCUGUAAAACAGAUUCGACAAACAGGCAAAAUUUAAAUUUUAACUCUAGAAGUAGACCGUUGCAAAACAGAGUUUAGAAACAAUGAUAAACUAGGCCAAGAGUAAUCUUCAUUAAAUAAGGCUGCAUUCACAUCGGACCCAAACCAAAAUUCGGACCAGGUUUUGGAUGCACUACGCCAGCGUCCCUACUCCUGUGACAGAGUGAUACAGUAAUUUAUAUAUAUACACAAAUGUCUUAGCAUCAUAUUUUUAUAAUAUAUAAGUGUAUUUAAGGAGUUGAAGAUGUUUGCUGACAAAGGUUUAGUUAUUCAUUCAUUUGAAUAAAUACAUUAAAAAAAAAUAUUAACUGAUGGUGUGUGUAUGGAUGAGAUAACGGGAUGAGAUACAUGGAUAGAUGGAUGCAUGCAUGAUGGCAUGCAUGAUGGAUAGAUAAAUGGAUGGCUUGAUGGAAGGAAGAUCAAUGAUGGACGAAGGAAGCCUUAGGAAGGCAUACAAUAAAUCAAUUCAAAAGUACGGACAGAUGGACAAACGAACGAAUUCAAACGAACGACAAACGACUCAAUGAAUGAAGUCAACACAUUCAGUUUCACUCUCUAAAAUUAUUCGAUUCAAAAAAAAAAAAAUAAAUAAAACACAAAUUAAAUACUUGAUUCGAUACGAGGUGAAUAGGUGUAUUUUUUUUUUCAUAGAAUUAACUAAUUUAGAUGCUUGCAUGUAAUUAAUUGUUUAUUGAAACAAAGAUCGCUAUAUUUAAAUGAAUAUUUGAAAUGUAAUUUUAUGUGUAACCUCGGAUACGGCGUCCAACAUUUAUAGAAUAGUAAUAAUAAAGUAAUAAUAAUGUACCAUCAAAUUUUACGUUUCAAUUUAUUGUCUUCGUUACCCUAACUGGGGUUUUAUUCAUCAUCAAUAUAUAGGCCACUGGCGAUUAUAUAAUAAUACAAUAAAGAUCCAGUGUUGUCAAAUAAUCAAUUCUCUUUUUAUUAUUUAUUCUUUUUAUUUUUUAUUGUCAAAAUAAGACGGUAAACAAUCCACCGAGCUGUUGGAAAGGAACUCAAAACCAAACCUAAUCACUAUUGCGUUAGCAUGAGAACCUCAACCACCCAGCUUCAUAAAAAUACAAUGCUCAAAAUUUAAUAAAUCUUUUUUACUAUAUUUUUACAUUUUUUUUACAGAAAUGUAAGUUGAAAACUUAGCGUUGAGCAAGAGUAAAAUAUUAUUUAAGUUACUAUACAAUGUCUUGAGAAAACUGUAAAAUGAAUUAAUUGAAGCAUUUAAAAAACCGUGUUUAUUUGUCGAUAUAUUAGCCGUUAACAUCAGCAAAUUAAACAAAACUUGUACUUUUUGUGUUUAAUUUAUGUUACAUAAUGAUAAAUAAAAUUUGUCAAUGUAAGGAAGAGUAUAAUACAAUUUAGGAUUAAAUCGAUUUCUGAUCUGAGAAAAGAAAGGACAAAUCAAUGUAAAAUGGAAUUCAUAUUCGAUCGAAUUUAAGUUACAGAGAUAAUACAAACGACACUGGAGUGGAAUCUUAUUCCAUCUACCAUUCUCGACCUCUAAUUUAAUAACUCCUAAACCAAAAACAGUAUUCUACGUUUAAAAUUCCGAAUUUCACACCCGUAUAUUGAUGAGUAGGUGUAAUUUCCUAGAAUUAAUUAAUUUACAUGUAAUUAAGAAUUGUUUAUUGAAACAUGUUGAAAUUGGUAAUAUUAUUUUUACAUCAAAGCGUUUAUCCCAUAUAUUUAUUGGUAGAUAAUUUAAGUUCUGAUUUAUUGAUGAUUUAAGAGAAUAUAAUAUGUAGCCGCAGUAGAUCAAAAUGUAUAUAUUUUAGACUAUAUUAUUUUACACUGUAAAUACGACGACUACCAUUUAGGAACGUUGGUAAUCUAGAUUAACGAUUUUGAUGUUAAUACUAUAGUAGUAUAGUAGUUAGUGAUUCAUAGUUAAAACAUUGGUUUCAACGAAAUAUAAUCCGGAAACGUACGAUGGCUGGCAGGGUGUAGUACCGCUUUCUUAUCUAGGCAACAAGUUGCCGUACUAUAGUCCUUGUUGUUAAGGCUUGAAAAUUAGCAAGAUUAGACUGAAACAAACAUUUUAU